AAAUUGAAGAGUUUGAUCAUGGCUCAGAUUGAACGCUGGCGGCAGGCCUAACACAUGCAAGUCGAGCGGUAGCACAGAGAGCUUGCUCUCGGGUGACGAGCGGCGGACGGGUGAGUAAUGUCUGGGAAACUGCCUGAUGGAGGGGGAUAACUACUGGAAACGGUAGCUAAUACCGCAUAAUGUCGCAAGACCAAAGUGGGGGACCUUCGGGCCUCAUGCCAUCAGAUGUGCCCAGAUGGGAUUAGCUAGUAGGUGGGGUAACGGCUCACCUAGGCGACGAUCCCUAGCUGGUCUGAGAGGAUGACCAGCCACACUGGAACUGAGACACGGUCCAGACUCCUACGGGAGGCAGCAGUGGGGAAUAUUGCACAAUGGGCG
rnacentral:ncRNA from 1 species